AGAGUUUGAUCCUGGCUCAGAUUGAACGCUGGCGGCAUGCUUUACACAUGCGAAGUCGAACGGCAGCACGGGGGCGAACCCUGGUGGCGAGUAGGCGAACGGUGAGUAAUGCAUCGGAACGUAUCCUUGAGUGGGGAUAACGCAGCGAAAGUUGUGCUAAUACCGCAUAAGCUCUGAGGAGGAAAGCGGGGGACCGAAAGGCCUCGCGCUGAAGGAGCGGCCCGAUGUCCGAUUAGGCUAGUUGGUGAGGUAAAGGCUUACCAAGGCGACGAUACGGUAGCUAGGUCUGAGAGGAUGAUCAGCCACACUGGGAACUGAG
rnacentral:rRNA from 1 species